CUUCGGGUGGGCCGUCACCGUAAAGCCCAUUGCUAAUAAGGCCUUCAUCACUGCACUGUUCUGUAGUUGUCGUGACAUCGACGAAACCCUUGUCGAUGUCAGAGGAGGGAGAUCAAUCAACAAAAACCACCCGUUAUCGAUUGACUGAAGGCAGAGGAGGAGGGAGAUCAAUCAUUCACGAAAUUGAUAUAUUUUCCUCCGGCCAAAUCUUACGGAAAGUGAGAUCAUCGCCUCAUCGGCUUACUUCAAUCUCGGAAUGGAUCAUGUGCUUUCACUGUCUCAAUCCUAUCCUACCUCACGCAGAGCUUCUUGCUCCAAAAUAAACUAAAAGAGGUUAAAUUAGGAUAGAAGGAAAAAAAAAAAAAAAGAUGAAAGAUGGGUUUCUUUUGUUUUCUUUUCGAAGAAGCUGAGAGAAUGGAGGAUUUUGAUUUGAUUUCUCAAGGAAUAAGAGAUUAAUGGGUGUAUUUACUACGCAGUAUCGAAAUCUGUGUAGAUGUUUAUAUAUAUACUGCUCUAGGUCUCAACAUCUCUUAAACACUGAGACUCUUCUUCUUCUUCUUCACUCUCUUCACCGGACCUUUUCGUUCUCUUCUCUAAUGGCGUAAGAUUGGUUUUUUGAUUCCUCCUUUCUCUAUUUUCUGAAGAACGAAGAAGAUUCAAAGAAGAGCAGAGCAGAGCUAGGGUUUAUGAUUGAUGACCCAGAAUUAGGGUUCUCUUUUUCUUCUAAUUUGAUGAAUAUUGUUUCCAUGGCGUUUCUUCUUCUUCUUCUUCAACUUUCUCUCAUCUGAUUUGAUCGACCAACUAAAGGAAGAUAUUGGUGCCAAGUGGUGAUCGGAGGAGCCGGAUGAUGGCGUUUCUUCUUCUGAUUUGACCGACCGCCAAGUACAGGUCAAAGAGAUGGAUUGAAGAAUGAAGAAGAAGAAUACUCAACUCUGCUUUAUCUCAGAGAGAUGGAUUGAAGAGUGAAGAAGAAGAAGACUUAAGCAGACUGCUUAAGCACAGACAUACAUCUUCAGUGAUCCUAAUGGAAUUUAUAUGAAGACACUCUGAAUUUUGAGGUUCGUGUUACUUGCUCUUAGAUGAAGUUGGUAUUGAUAGUAUUUGGUCUCAGUUCACUUCCUCUGUUGCUUGGAUGCGUUUUCUUGUUUUGCAGUUACUACUGUACGUGGGCUUUCAUCAUCUCCUCCAUGGCAAAAUUUGAAGGAUCAUUUGCGGAGAGCUGGUGAUGUCUUCUUUAACUUGCUGAUGUCCACUUCAAAUUCUCCCCAUCCAUAAGUUAUGUUGCAGUCUUACACAACGAUUGUCAAAUCCUAUUCUGGAGAUUGAAUUGGCGUUUGUUACAGGAGUCAAGAGAGACAACCACAAAUCUAUGAUACUGUUAAUCUUUUGGAGAGUGUUGGGGUGAGAUUUGUUUCUCCACUUUUUUAAAUUACUUUAAAUCUCUCUUGUUUAUGUUUGCUUAGUAACGAGUUUGUCUACAUUCAGUAUACCUGCUGCUGGUCGGACAAAAAAAGAAA